GCCCAAGCUGUCGGCGGAGACGCCUGGGGGCCAGGACAUCGUGUCGUUGUGCACCUUCUGUUUUUCCAGUUCGGCUUUAGGAAGAGGAAGCUCCAUCAGCACGUCCCCAGGAAGCUGGUUUGUUGGGAAAGGGGUGAGAGCAGCACUCCAGGAGGUGGCCAAUGAACCUACUAUGCGGGAUUUCGGCUGGACUUUUCCUGACCAAGCCAGGGGCUUAAUGUUACCAAGCAGGUUGCAGGCAGGAGGCUGUCACCUGCUUGACAGAAAUCCUUGGGGCAAAUGCCAUCUCCAUGUGGAGGCAGCAAUGAAAGCAUGAAGGAUCUGAGCUGACGUUACAGUGAGAGUGUCCCCCCUUCCUGGCACUCAGGCAAGGAUGCUCCCCAGAUGAUGGACACGGGGACCCUCCCCAGAUGACAGACACGGGGACCCUCCCCAGAUGACGGACACGGGGACCCUCCCCAGAUGACGGACACGGGGACCCUCCCCAGAUGACGGACACGGGGACCCUGCCAGAUGACGGACACAUGGACCCUCCUCAGAUGACGGACACAUGGACCCUCCCCAGAUGACGGACACAUGGACCCUCCCCAGAUGACAGACACAUGGACCCUCCCAGA
rnacentral:lncRNA from 1 species